rnacentral:ncRNA from 1 species
GGCGCGCAGACGGGAGAACCGCAGCGGAGCGGAAUCACCUCGCUCCAACCGGUGCCGAAGGAGCAACCGCCCCGGAAACUCUCAGGCCAAAGGGACCGCCUGCGCAGU